GACGAACGCUGGCGGCGUGCUUAACACAUGCAAGUCGAACGGUGAAGCGCCUUCCUUUUUGGUGGGUGUGGAUGAGUGGCGAACGGGUGAGUAACACGUGAGUAACCUGCCCCCUUCUUCUGGAUAACCGCAUGAAAGUGUGGCUAAUACGGGAUAUUCUGGGUCUGUCGCAUGAUGGGUCUGGGAAAGAUAUUGUUUCGGUGGGGGAUGGGCUCGCGGCCUAUCAGCUUGUUGGUGGGGUGAUGGCCUACCAAGGCGGUGACGGGUAGCCGGCCUGAGAGGGUGGCCGGUCACACUGGGACUGAGACCCGGCCCCGACUCCUACGGGAGGCAGCAGUGGGUAAUAUUGCACAAUGGGCGCAAGCCUGAUGCAGCGACGCCGCGUGAGGGAUGGAGGCCUUCGGGUUGUGAACCUCUUUCGCCAGUGAAGCAGGCCUGCCUCGUUUGUGGGUGGGUUGACGGUAGCUGGAGAAGAAGCUCCGGCUAACUACGUG
rnacentral:rRNA from 1 species